rnacentral:lncRNA from 12 species
AGCCCCGGAAUCCUGCUCCAUAUGGAAAUUUCAGAAUUUGUUGAUUGUGGACAAUAAGCAGAGUCCUCCAGCUUUGUGCUUUUAUCCUGGUGGUGGCCCUCAAGAAUAAGCCGAGCACCCUGUUUCAUCUCAGUGCAUUUGCUUCCUUAAGAACAUCGUCUCAAACAGGUGUUGUGCCACUCCUGUGCUUUCACAUCCAGUUUAUCAUGAACCUCCGUGUACUCACGCUUCUGUGCCUGCCACACCACUGAAAGCGACCCGUGUCAGUCCACAGUGGCCACUGAUCCUUUGACUGUCUGCGGUGGGCAACCUUGGCCUCUGUGACACAGCGAGCUCCCGCAAAUACAGCUCUUAGAACUCUUGGCAGUAAUGUUGGCAGGACUCCAGUAAACCAGCCUUUUUUGAGGACUUUGACCCAGGCCAACAUGGUCUAUGCUUUCAAUUAAAAAAAAAUCUGAAAGUGAAAAAAAAAUGGAGAAGAAAAAUCACAACACAUUGUGACUCUCAGGUGGCAUCACACCCACGAAACUUUGUGGCAACGUUACACCUGUCUCCUGAGAGAUGAGAACCUUGUCUAGUGCUGUCUUUCAUCACUGCAAAAAAAGUUCAAGUCAGGACCACAGAUGUCUAAUAUGUGUCAUUGAAAGCAUGGCUUUUCUCUGAACUUGGCAGCUGAAAUGAGUUGACUCCAACCUUCUUCUGGGAUCAAUACCAAGUCCCUAUGGAGAGCCGAAUGGCUUUCUCGAGGAAAACUCAUGGACCCAGGACCACCAGCAAAAUGAACAGUGUCUUCAAAGUUCCUUCCCUGGGAGUCUGUGACAUUCUCCAGCCCGCUGUUUUGUAUGCUAAGGUCAUGGAUCAAGGGCAGCUCCGUGCCUGUGGUUUGGACUUGGCUGUGGGCUCUGGCAGGAUGAUGCAACCCGCGCUGAUCCUAAUCGGUCAGAAGAAGUCUAUUAAGUUUGAGCCCUUAAGCUGUCUCAGCCAAAUCAGGGAUACCAAAGUUACAUUUGUUUUUGUGAUGACCAUUCAUUUUGGUCAAAUGAAGAAAUUGCUCGUGUGUAUUUUGUGGCUUCAGGGGCAAAAUCUGUGA